rnacentral:rRNA from 1 species
GAUGAACGCUGGCGGCGUGCCUAAUACAUGCAAGUCGAGCGAAAAGAUGAGGAGCUUGCUCCUCUGACGUUAGCGGAGGACGGGUGAGUAACACGUGGAUAACCUACCUAUAAGACUGGGAUAACCUCGGGAAACCGGAGCUAAUACCGGAGAAGAUAUUGAACCACAGGGGGGAAUAGAGAAAGACGGUGUUGCGGUCAGGUAUCGAUGGAUACCAGCCGCAUUAGCUAGUUGGUAGGGUAAAGGGCUACCAAGGGAACGAUGCGUAGCCGAGCUGAGAGGCUGGUCGGCCACACUGGAACUUGGACACGCUCCAGGCUCCUGCGGGAGGCACCAGUAGCGAAUCUUCCGCAAAGGGCGAAAGCCUGACGGAGCAGCGCCGCGCGAGUUAUGAAGGUCUUCGGUUCGUAAAACUCUGUUAUUAGGGAUGAACAAAUGUGUAAUUAACUAUGCACGUCUUGACGGUACCUGAUCAGAAAGCCCCGGCUAACUACGUG